rnacentral:rRNA from 1 species
CCUACGGGAGGCUGCAGUGGGGAAUAUUGCACAAUGGGGGAAACCCUGAUGCAGCGACGCCGCGUGAGUGAAGAAGUAUUUCGGUACGUAAAGCUCUAUCAGCAGGGAAGAAAAUGACGGUACCUGACUAAGAAGCCCCGGCUAACUACGUGCCAGCAGCCGCGGUAAUACGUAGGGGGCAAGCGUUAUCCGGAUUUACUGGGUGUAAAGGGAGCGUAGACGGCAGCGCAAGUCUGGAGUGAAAUCCCAUGGCUUAACCAUGGAACUGCUUUGGAAACUGUGCAGCUAGAGUGCAGGAGAGGUAAGCGGAAUUCCUAGUGGAGCGGUGAAAUGCGUAGAUAUUAGGAGGAACACCAGUGGCGAAGGCGGCUUACUGGACUGUAACUGACGUUGAGGCUCGAAAGCGUGGGGAGCAAACAGGAUUAGAUACCCCAGUAGUC